UGAGCAAUCUGCCCUUCUCAUCGGAAUAAGCGUUGGAAACGACGUCUAAUGCCGAAUACGACCUCCUUUCGCAUGAUCGGAGGUGGAAAGCUCCGGCGGAGAAGGAUGAGCUCGCGGCCUAUCAGCUAGUUGGUGUGGGUAAUGGCCCACCAAGGCGACGACGGGUAGCCGGCCUGAGGAGGGCGACCGGCCACACGUGGGACUGAGACACGGCCCAGACCUCCGUACGGGAGCAG
rnacentral:rRNA from 1 species